CAAGGUGGAUGAUAAAAUACCUUUCCGUUGGGCCGUCCGUUAUGGCGUUCAAUUUUCAUCGAUUAUACGCGAUAAGAAUGUCCUUUUGUGGAGGAAUGAAAAAUUCUUUCCAACCGAAAGGGUAAAAAUUCGGUCGGAUUUUCGAUAACCCGGCUGGUGGUGGUGGUGUGGGGGGGGAUGGUUAUUGAUUCGAUUUAAGUGGCGAUGAAACGCAAAAUUAUUCCUUCGUUAUUUCCAUUAUUCGAGGAAAAUUAUUCGGGCUGCGUUGCAGGAAUUCGCAAACAAGAAUGUUGCAUUUAUUCCCGAUAUAAUAGAAUUUUAUCGCGAUACCUCCGUUUGCUCGCGCAUACGUUUUCAUUCGAAUCGUGUCGCGUUACGAGAACGUGCAAAUUUGACGUAGAAAUUUUCCAUCCGUUUUCGCACGAUGCGAAAAAAUAAAUAUAGGCAGAAUAAAUUGAACGAGUAACAAGUAGAAUUUACAAGAAGAAUUUUAUCAUCGUAUGUCAAUUUAUUAACUUGGAUCGUUUCGUAGGAAAUUUCAUCUUUAUUAUAAUUUUGAUUGGCGAAAGGAAAAGGGCUCGAAUAUCGCCGAGAUCCCAUCCGUGAUCUCCGCAUGCAUGCAAAAUCCAAAUUCCAACCAGUUGAACCAGUUAGAUCGAUCCUCUCGUUUGAAAAAGUCGACCCAGGGAGUGGCCGCUAAUAAUUCAGGAACAGGGGAAACUAGUUUAAGGCCAACAACAAAAGAUAAACAACGAGGGGGGCGGAGGGGGAAGGGAGAGAACGUACUCCUGGUCCGCCAUGGCUCCCGAGCGGAUCGUAGCCACGGCCAUAAACUAGUCUUUUCCUGGCAGCCAGGCCGAACUUUUAAGACGGACAGAAGGUGCUUUUAUUGCUUUUCGCGUGUCCCACGUGGUUCAGGGCUGUGCGGGGAAAUUGGAAAAAAGGAAAAAGAUGCCCUCAGGGCCUUGCUAAGACGGGCCAUCGGGGGAGAGGCAGGCCUCUCGGUUAUCAUUUAGAUGCAUGGACUUGCAAAUUUCAUCGUGAUGGGGACCGUUCUCGUGAUACGUGUGUAUAUGAGGAGGAAUGGAUACGUGGGAAAUAAUGUCGCUAGAUGUCUCUAGUGUUUAAGUUUUGGAAUGGAAGGAGGAGUCGAUAUGGAAAACUAUAAUGCUGUUAUUGAUGUAUGGGGUUAUUUAAUGCGUAUAAAACUUGGAAUCGAAAUCAUUUCUAUCGAAUAAUAAAACAAUUUCUACACACUUUUUUUCCAACUCCCCUGGUAUUCUUCUCCCGUAUACACGCUACUCGCAACGUACGUGAAAAUUUGAAGAAAACUUGCGGUAAUUUGACCAAGUUGUUUGAAAAACCAGUUUAAUCCAAGAUUAAACUUAAGUUUAGUUUAUCAAGCUUAAGAUAAACAAAAAAGAAAGAAAGAAAGAAAGAAAGAAAUGACACGUUCUAAAUGCAGAAACCGUGUUCCUCGUUGAACGUUGUUAUUUUCGUCAGAUCUAAAAAUGACGGAGACGUGCGGCUAGAUUUUUCGCGCGAGGUAAAGAAGAGGCCACCAAAACGCUCCGAGAUGUCACCGAGUACGUGAGGAAGUGUCUUCCGCCAAGAAGAAAACAGACUAUGGUUUGAUACAACUGGAUUUCUCACUGCGGGAUAUAUUUUCUUCUUGUACACGAGUGGAAUAAGGAAUAUAGAUGUAAAUGAUUUUCACUCGUUGGCGUUUUUCGGCAUGGAACUCGCUCAUGUUUUUACGAAGAGUAUGAAACAAAAUGAAAACUCGAAACUUUAUUCGAUUUAUAUAGGGAGAUGAGAAGGUAAAUUGGGUUGCAAUGAGUUUUUGCCCUUUGACUUGAAACUUUAUUAUAUUUUCAGUGCAGGGUGGAUUUAAUACCGAAACUGUCAGCCUCGUUAACUUGAAGAGUGUUUGAGAUUUUUUUGCUCCGAGAAUCGGUUACAAUGGGUUUUCUUUGAUGCAAUUUUAUUAUGUGUUCGAUGUAGAGAAGUUUAAUAUUGGAACUUGUUAACUCUAAAUUGUCAAAGAUUUUUGACAUUUUGUUUUUGGAUAUUAUUGGUCAAUGUACUUUAUAGUACAGUAUAAUUAGAUUAAUUUGAUGAUGCGAUAAUUUUUAAAAUUGUAUUUGUAUUUUAUUAAACGUAGAUGCUUCACGUUAAUGUUAUUCGUGGUUGAGGCGAUUUUCAUUUACUCGUAAAGAGGAACUGAUAUUUGUACAUAUUUUAUCUCCGUAAAAAUCUUAUUACUAUUUUAAGAUGUAGGUAAGGAAUUUUAUUACAUGUUGCUUU